AUCGUGGGUAAUUUCAUGGAGUUACAACGAGUAAAAGUAGUGGAAUUUAAAUCUCAAAAUGGCAGGUCCAUUAUUUUAACGCAAAGAGCUUACCACCGGCACUUCAAUGUAAGCUGCCACGUUUGUCCAUCUUUUGAGCUCCUAAAUACUUCCUGGGUGGAUAUCUGAGGUUUUUGAUGUAUAUAAACAAACCGCGUACACUUGAGCAGAUCAAGGAGAAUAUUCGUGCAUAAAUUCGAGCCUCAAACAUUAGCUUUUGUUAUGAACAAUGCAAUCGAAAGCGUCCGACUUUGCGAGGCGG